GUGUCUCAGGGAUGAACUGUUCCCUGAUAUUUAAUCCCAUUUGCUUUAAUUUGUCAGUGAAGCUCUCUCUGUCUUCUCUGACAUUCAGAAUAGGAAAAUC
rnacentral:snoRNA from 1 species